GUACGUGAUAUGUAUAUUUCUUGGUUUGAUGGCAGUGUACGUGAUAUGUAUAGUUUUAAUCUGUUGUCACGUACACUGCCAUCAAACCAAGAAAUAUACAUAUC